AGGGUUUUAAGUUAAUAAAACUAUAAGCCUUCAAAGCUUGAAAUAAAGAAGUAUCUUUAAACCCUG
rnacentral:tRNA from 1 species